rnacentral:lncRNA from 1 species
GAUUUGGAAGAGGAGGAGAAAGGGUGGAGGAGAAGGAAGAGGAGAAGGGCGAGAAGAGGAGGAGAGAAUAGCCAUGGGGAGGUGGACUUGAGGUUCGGAGGAGAGGAGACUCGGGGAGGGGCUGAGGGAAUAGAGCUCGGCGGCGCCAUUUCAAUGUUUCACAAACCCUAAAUCCUAAUUCUAAAAUCGGGCUGAAUCGGGCUGAGUGAAUCGGGCCUAGACAGUGAAAUCGGGC